AAGACCCCUUGAAGACUACAAGGUUGAUAGGAGCAUGGUGUAAGUAUCGUGAGGUACUAAGCUUACGCUUACUAAUAGGUCGAGGUCUUAUAUUU
rnacentral:rRNA from 1 species